CCUACGGGUGGCAGCAGUGAGGAAUAUUGGUCAAUGGGCGCGAGCCUGAACCAGCCAAGUCGCGUGAGGGAAGACGGUCCUAUGGAUUGUAAACCUCUUUUGUCGGGGAGCAAAAGACGCCACGCGUGGCGUUCCGAGCGUACCCGAAGAAAAAGCAUCGGCUAACUCCGGGCCAGCAGCCGCGGUAAUACGGAGGAUGCGAGCGUUAUCCGGAUUGAUUGGGGUUAAAGGGUGCGCAGGAGGAAGAUCAAGGCAGCGGUAAAAUUGAGAGGCUCAACCUCUUCGAGCCGUUGAAACUGGUUUUCUUGAGUGAGCGAGAGGUAUGCGGAAUGCGUGGUGUAGCGGUGAAAUGCAUAGAUAUAACGCAGAACUCCGAUGGCGAAGGCAGCAUACCGGCGCUCAACUGACGCUGAGGCACGAAAGUGUGGGUAGCGAACAGGAUUAGAUACCCCAGUAGUC
rnacentral:rRNA from 1 species